rnacentral:rRNA from 1 species
UACGUAGGGGGCAAGCGUUGUCCGGAUUUAUUGGGCGUAAAGAGCGUGUAGGCGGCCAGGGAGGUCCGUUGUGAAAACUCGAGGCUCGACCUCGAGACGCCGAUGGAAACCCCCUGGCUAGAGUCCGGAAGAGGAGAAUGGAAUUCCUGGUGUAGCGGUGAAAUGCGCAGAUAUCAGGAAGAACACCCGUGGCUAAGGCGGUUCUCUAGUACGGUACUGACGCUGAGACGCGAAAGCGUGGGGAGCGAACAGG